rnacentral:rRNA from 1 species
AUUAAACGCUGGCGGCAUGCCUUACACAUGCAAGUCGAACGGCAGCACGGGGGCAACCCUGGUGGCGAGUGGCGAACGGGUGAGUAAAGCAUCGGAACGUGCCCUGGAGUGGGGGGAUAACGUAGCGAAAGUUACGCUAAUACCGCAUAUUCUGUGAGCAGGAAAGCAGGGGGAUCGCAAGACCUUGCGCUCUGGGAGCGGCCGAUGUCGGAUUAGCUAGUUGGUGGGGUAAAGGCCUACCAAGGCGACGAUCCGUAGCGGGUCUGAGAGGAUGAUCCGCCACACUGGGACUGAGACACGGCCCAGACUCCUACGGGAGGCAGCAGUGGGGAAUUUUGGACAAUGGGCGAAAGCCUGAUCCAGCCAUGCCGCGUGAGUGAAGAAGGCCUUCGGGUUGGUUAAA